rnacentral:tRNA from 1 species
GCUCCAUUAGCUCAGCGGUAGAGCAGCUGAUUCGUAAUCAGCAGGCCGUCGGUUCGAAUCCGACAUGGAGCUCCA